rnacentral:lncRNA from 1 species
AUGUAUCGCGAGUAUUAAAAUUGAAAGCGGAUUAUUUUCUUUAUUAAUGCUUACACAUAAACACUGUGUAUCCAUGAUAUCUUACGGCCGCAUGCUUUAGUCCUUCAUAAGUGUUAUCCAAAAAAAAAAGAAAAAAAAAUACAGCGUAUGACUAUUCAUAACAAGUAUACAAAGUAAACUUUUUUUCCUCUAUCAUCAAACAUAUAUUCUGAGAAGUUUGUGAGUCGGUUUGUUUAGAUGAGAAAUAAUAAACUUGCAGUUAUGACACAAUACCUACCAAAGAUGCUAUACACGGGACAUACAUUUAUUAGUUGGGAUUGCAAUCAUUAAUUAUCGUUUAAAAGUCUACAACAGUUGGUUUGCAUCUAUUGUAAAAAGAGGAUUGUAGCAUGCCAAAUUAUGAAUUUACGGUCUCAUUGAACGUCAAAGGCGGAAAAAACCAGGAAAACUUUAAGUAGUUAAGCUAUGUACUUUUGUCGAAAAGUUUAUGUCUGAACAUUUAUCUCUAAAAACGCCUUACCUUUGUUAAAGUCUUUAGAAAAUGUGAAAAACUGCAAAUUAAAUAUUGGUCUGUAGCUUAUAAAACUAUCUUCAAUCUUUAAUAAUGCAAGAAAUAAUUUUUUGACUUCGCGUACCAAAGAAACCCUUAUAACGCGUGUACUAAAUAUAACUUUUAAAUAAUACUGUCAAUAAAAAGUCCGAAGUUAAAAAAGGAACUUUCUUUCAUCAAUUUCCAACUAUAACUAUUCAAUCUGUUGUUGGUUUAAUCAUCAGAAACCAUACAUUGGUUCAAGGCUUGUUUAUACUCAAUGCUGUUGACCAUUAAAUAAAAAAAAUUCCAUGUCAAGCUAACGAAAUUGUUUACUUUUAUUUUCGCUAAUGAAUUAUGUAGUUUAUCAUAAUACAAAGCAGCUUUUAUCUCUACAUGGCUAGUACAAAUCAUAUGGUGAUGAAUUUACUGUUAUGAAAAUAAAGUAAUGCUUUAAGUAUAUUUGAGGGCUUCAAAAUUCAUAGUCACUGAUGCACCGGAAUCAAUAAUCCGUGCAAUUAUGCAUCAAUUUGAACCACAACUUUAGGCUGUUUUAACUUCUCGUUCAUCACCUUUUUGUCGGUGUUUAUGCUCUGCUUUUCGGAUAUCGCCCUUAGGAGUUCAAACGAUCUAUUGCGGCAAUCAAUUUUGAGCACCGUAUCUAGUGAUAACAAAUUAUCUUUAUCGGUUAAGCACGUUAUUGCAGCUGCUUCAGUAUGUACACAUUUCACUAUUUAG